rnacentral:rRNA from 1 species
AUGAAGCGGAAGUUCAUUAUGAUGCCAGUGCUCAUCCAAGGCCCUAAGCAACCCGGCAACGACAUUGAUGUGUACCUAAGACCAUUAGUUGAAGAACUCUUACAACUGUGGAAUGGAACAGGUGUACGUGCGUGGGAUGAGCACGGACAGGAAGAAUUUGACCUAAAGGCGUUGCUGUUCGUGACCAUCAAUGAUUGGCCUGCUCUCAGUAACCUUUCAGGACAGACAAACAAGGGAUACCGCGGAUGCACGCACUGUUUGGAUGAUACCGACAGUAUAUAUUUGAAUAGUUGUAAGAAGAAUCUGUACCUGGGACAUCAUUGA